rnacentral:rRNA from 1 species
UACAAGGGGUGCAAACGUUGCUCGGAAUUAUUGGGCGUAAAGCGCACGUAGGCGGUUUGUUAUGUCGGAUGUGAAAGCCCUUGGCUCAACUGAGGAAGUGCAUCCGAAACUGGCAAGCUAGAGUAUGUAAGAGGGUCGCGGAAUUCCCGGUGUAGAGGUGAAAUUCGUAGAUAUCGGGAGGAACACCGGUGGCGAAGGCGGCGACCUGGGACAAUACUGACGCUGAGGUGCGAAAGCGUGGGGAGCAAACAGG